rnacentral:rRNA from 1 species
AUUGAACGCUGGCGGCAUGCUUUACACAUGCAAGUCGAACGGUAACAGGCCGCAAGGUGCUGACGAGUGGCGAACGGGUGAGUAAUGCAUCGGAACGUGCCCAGUCGUGGGGGAUAACGCAGCGAAAGCUGCGCUAAUACCGCAUACGAUCUAUGGAUGAAAGCGGGGGACCGAAAGGCCUCGCGCGAUUGGAGCGGCCGAUGUCAGAUUAGGUAGUUGGUGGGGUAAAGGCCUACCAAGCCGACGAUCUGUAGCUGGUCUGAGAGGACGACCAGCCACACUGGGACUGAGACACGGCCCAGACUCCUACGGGAGGCAGCAGUGGGGAAUUUUGGACAAUGGGCGCAAGCCUGAUCCAGCAAUGCCGCGUGCAGGAAGAAGGCCUUCGGGUUGUAAACUGCUUUUGUACGGAACGAAAAGGCCCUGGUUAAUACCUGGGGCUCAUGACGGUACCGUAAGAAUAAGCACCGGCUAACUACGUGCCAGCCGCCGCAGUAAUAC